AGGCUAGGGGUCAAAUUGGAGCUACAGCUGCUGGCCUACACCACAGUCACAACAACACAGGAUCCAAGCUGCGUGUGCAACCUACACCACAGCUUAUGGCAACACCGGAUCCUUAACCCAGUGAGUAAGGCCAGGGAUCGAACCUGCAUCCUCAUGGAUCCUAGUCGGUUUUGUUGACCUCUGGGCGGUGAAGGGAACUCCAUGUUUUUCUCUGUUUCUUAAAUAGAUGUAGUAGGACUGAGAAUAGGGAUUCGGAUUCAUUAGAGUCACUGCCGUGGGCAAUUCUCCGUGUAAACAGAAGAGAUUUCAUACUGCUGGCUCUUAGCAAGUCCUCAUUGAUGUACAUGCACACACUUGUAAACAUACAGUAGUUUUAGUUGGACUUGGUUGGAGGGAGGUAUACUUCUGCCCUUGUGUAUGGUUUCUUGACUUCUCCAAGAGGACUCCAGCCCUUAACUUGGAUCCCAAAUGUAUAUAACUCAUCUGCUGAGACUUGAAUUUCCCCAAAUAGAAAUUUAUUUUUUGGAUAGAAAAUCUGUCACCCUUAAUACAUAAAGGCCCCCAGUAAAGAGUGUAGAAUGCAAAUUGCUACCAAAAUUUUACUAGUACUUCUAUCGGUUUCAGGCAAUAAAUCUACAUUGUGUGAUCGUCAUUGUCUGAAACCUCAGGAAGAUCUCUUGCCACUCUACCCUGCUACUGCGAUCUGAAUUUUCUCCCUCACAGCUAGUCAUCUGGGUUAAAGCAUUGCUUUAAAGUACUGCAUUUAAAGUGCACAAGGAGGAGUUCCCGUCGUGGCUCGGUGGUUAACAAAUCCAACUAGGAACCAUGAGGUUGUAGGUUCGAUCCCCGACUUUGCUCAGUGGGUUAGGGAUCUGGCGUUGCUGUGAACUGUGGUGUAUAUUGCAGACAAAGCUCGGAUCUGGCAUUGCUGUGGCUCUGGCAUAGGCCAGAGGCUACAGCUCCGAUUGGACCCCUGGCCUGGGAACCUCCAUACGCCUUGGGAGCGGCUCAAGAAAUGGCAAAAACACACACACACACACACACACACACACACACACACACACACAGUGCACAAGGAGUUCCUGUUGUGGUUUAGGGGGUUAAGAAACUGAUUAGCAUGCAUGAGGAUGCAGAUUUGAUCCCUGGCCGCCCUCAGUGGGUUAAGGAUCCAGCAUUGUCAUGAGCUGUGUAGGUCACAGAUCUGGUGUUGAUGUGGUGUAGGCCUGGAGCUGCAGUUCUAACUCAACCCUUAGCUUAAGAACUUCAAUAUGCUAUGGGUACAGCCCUAAAAAGACAAAAGAAAAAAAAAGUGCAGGACCAAAACAUGGUCGUUGCUCAAAUGCCUUUAAAGUUGAAAUUUUUUUUUUUUUUUUUGAUCUUUUUAGGGCCACACCUGUGGCAUGUGGAAGUUCCCAGGCUAGGGGUUGAAUCAGAGCUAUAGCUGCCAGCCUACACCACAGCCAUAGCAACAUGGGAUCCGAGCCACGUCUGAGAUCUACACCACAGCUCAUGGCAACUCCCAAUCCUUCACCCAAUGAGCAAGGCCAGAGAUCAAACCCACAUCCUCAUGCAUACUAGUUGGGCUUAUUACUGCUGAGCCACAACAGGAACUUCCUUAUGUUAUGUGUUUUACCUCUUCCUUUCACCUAUUUUUUGUCUUCUCCCACUUGAAGGAAAUCUCCCUGAGAGCAGGAAUCCUUUUUUGCUUUUGUUUUUGCUUUUUCACUUAAGAAUCACCAGGUCUUAGAAGGGUUUCACCAGAGUUCCCUGGUGGCCUAGUGCUUAAGGAUUUGGCGUUGUUACUGCUGUGGCUCUGGUUAGAUCCCUGACCCAGAAACUCCUGCAUUCCAUGAAUGUGGCCGAAUCACUGUUGAUGCUGCCCUGGAUCAUGUGGCAGAGGCAGUGCUGCUCAGGUCUCUCCAUAGAAAGCACCACCCCCCGCCCCCUGCCACUGCCGUCUUUGGAAGGAAGUUGCUGUUCACAGCCCACAUUGAGGGAGUGGACAGUAUUCACCCUCUUCAGAACAGAGUAUCUGCUUCCGCAUGGGAGAUUUGUCUUCUCCCCAAUCUAUGUACUUAUUCAUUAUUUAUAUGAGCACAGACCUGUAGAUAUUUCAUACUUUGGAUUGCAGUCCAAUACUGCUUUAUUUUCUUGCCCAGAUUGUUCCAGCUUUGGCUGUAGGAAGCUCUUUCCAUUGGCUCCUAUGUGUCUGUUCUCCCCCACCCUUUUUUUUGUGCCUGUCCCUUUGACAAACUUCUUUUCAUUACUGACGUAUUUAUUUUUAGUGCACUUCCUUACUUUCUGACAUCACGAGAUGCUUCAGGCUCAUCAUGUAUUAUCCCCCGGAUGUAUUUCCUGCCCCAGUGCUUGAAUCAGCCGUUUCUUCAAGGAGUCUUUCAUUGGGAAAUGAUAAGAGAAAUCAGAUCUGGGCACUGGGUG
rnacentral:lncRNA from 1 species